rnacentral:rRNA from 1 species
GCAGUCGACGAUGAACUGGAGCUUGCUCCAGGGAUUAGUGGCGAACGGGUGAGUAACACGUGAGUAACCUGCCCUUGACUCUGGGAUAAGCGCUGGAAACGGCGUCUAAUACCGGAUACGAGCUUCAGCCGCAUGGCUAGGAGUUGGAAAGAAUUUCGGUCAAGGAUGGACUCGCGGCCUAUCAGCUAGUUGGUGAGGUAAUGGCUCACCAAGGCGACGACGGGUAGCCGGCCUGAGAGGGUGACCGGCCACACUGGGACUGAGACACGGCCCAGACUCCUACGGGAGGCAGCAGUGGGGAAUAUUGCACAAUGGGCGCAAGCCUGAUGCAGCAACGCCGCGUGAGGGAUGACGGCCUUCGGGUUGUAAACCUCUUUUAGUAGGGAAGAAGCGAAAGUGACGGUACCUGCAGAAAAAGCACCGGCUAACUACGUGCCAGCAGCCGCGGUAAUACGUAGGGUGCAAGCGUUGUCCGGAAUUAUUGGGCGUAAAGAGCUCGUAGGCGGUUUGUCGCGUCUGCUGUGAAAUCUGGGGGCUCAACCCCCAGCCUGCAGUGGGUACGGGCAGACUAGAGUGCGGUAGGGGAGAUUGGAAUUCCUGGUGUAGCGGUGGAAUGCGCAGAUAUCAGGAGGAACACCGAUGGCGAAGGCAGAUCUCUGGGCCGUAACUGACGCUGAGGAGCGAAAGCAUGGGGAGCGAACAGGAUUAGAUACCCUGGUAGUCCAUGCCGUAAACGUUGGGAACUAGAUGUGGGGGCCAUUCCACGGUCUCCGUGUCGCANCUAANGCAUUAAGUUCCCCGCCUGGGGAGUACGGCCGCANGGCUAAAACUCAAAGGAAUUGACGGGGGCCCGCACAAGCGGCGGANCAUGCG